UACGGAGGGUGCGAGCGUUGUCCGGAAUCACUGGGCGUAAAAGGCGCGUAGGCGGCCUGAUAAGUAGGGGGUGAAAUCCUGCGGCUUAACCGCAGGGCUGCCUUCUAAACUGUCAGGCUUGAGCACAGUAGAGGCAGGUGGAAUUCCCGGUGUAGCGGUGGAAUGCGUAGAGAUCGGGAAGAACAUCAGUGGCGAAGGCGGCCUGCUGGGCUGUUGCUGACGCUGAGGCGCGACAGCGUGGGGAGCAAACAGG
rnacentral:rRNA from 1 species